AUGCGGGAAGGAGAGACGAAGCCUUUUCCUUGUACAACAAAAGACUAUUAUAUCAAUGUUCGGUGCACUAAUAGAAGAAUAUUUCUGAGUACAUGUUGUCCCACAGCUGACAUUUUUUAUGAAGUGUGCAGAGUAUUCAGAGAACCCAACUGACAACACGACCUUUCUGAAACUCUUCAACCAGAACCUGCAGAGCAACAACAAAACAUGUUUCUUUUCUUUGCACAGUUUUAGUGCUGAUUGUUCUUUAAACACCAAACUGUCCAUAAAUGUUUUGAACUUUGAA